rnacentral:rRNA from 2 species
GAUGAACGCUAGCGGCAGGCCUAAUACAUGCAAGUCGAACGGUUCAUGGUUUUCGGAUCAUGGAUAGUGGCGCACGGGUGCGUAACGCGUACACAACAUACCCUUUACUGGGGGAUAGCGGUGGGAAACUGCCAGUAAUACCCCAUGUCCUCGCGAGGUGGCAUUAUUUUGCGAGGAAAGUUACGGCGGUAAAGGAUUGGUGUGCGUCCGAUUAGCUAGUUGGCGGGGUAACGGCCCACCAAGGCGACGAUCGGUAGGGGGUGUGAGAGCAUGGCCCCCCACACGGGUACUGAGACACGGACCCGACUCCUACGGGAGGCAGCAGUAAGGAAUAUUGGACAAUGGUCGGAAGACUGAUCCAGCCAUGCCGCGUGAAGGAAGAAGGCGCUCAGCGUUGUAAACUUCUUUUGGAUGGGAAUAAUAACCUCUACGUGAUAGGGGCUUGAAGGUACCAUCAGAAUAAGCACCGGCUAACUCCGUG